CACUGGAGGCAGCGGUUCAUCGAUCUCUUCCUGGGAAUUUUGUUGUGAGAAUAACACAAAUACAUGAAUCGAUCGAUAAACCUCUGCAUCCAGA
rfam:Theobroma cacao cultivar Matina 1-6 chromosome 3, whole genome shotgun sequence.